UACGUAGGGGGCAAGCGUUGUCCGGAAUCAUUGGGCGUAAAGCGCGUGUAGGCGGUUCGGUAAGUCUGCUGUGAAAGUCCAGGGCUCAACCCUGGGAUGCCGGUGGAUACUGUCGGACUAGAGUACGGAAGAGGCGAGUGGAAUUCCCGGUGUAGCGGUGAAAUGCGCAGAUAUCGGGAGGAGCACCAAUUGCGAAGGCAGCUCGCUGGGACGUCACUGACGCUGAGACGCGAAAGCGUGGGGAGCAAACAGG
rnacentral:rRNA from 1 species